UGAGAACAACAGACUCAGAAAGGUUAAGAAACUUAUCCGAGGUAACCAAACUGCAAGAAAAAAAGGCUUACAGAAGAGUUUGGAAAAAAGGCCUCAGUUUCAUCUGUUUUCAAUCUCUGUUUAAGGAGAUGCUAAGGAUGUGUUUCAUAAUAAGAAUCCAAGUGACAAGGAGUCAAGUCUGUAACAACUGUGUUUAGCUGUGAGAAAAAAUCCAGAAGAAAUGCCCAUUUCCCAUUCUUCAGGAAAUUGUAUGGGAGUACAGAAAACAGAUAAACAAUAUCAACUUAAGCAACGUAUGUUUGAGUAUAUAAUAAUAUUGGAAAAAUUAAGCUUGAAAUAAAAAGAAACAGAAGCAGAG
rnacentral:lncRNA from 10 species